UUUGGUGAUUAUAGCGCAGGUAAAAGACUAGAUUACAUUCCGAACUCGACAGUGAAGCCCUGUUGCGCCGAUGGUACUGUAUGGGAGAGUAGGUCGUUGCCAAUC
rfam:Candidatus Xenolissoclinum pacificiensis L6 Contig7, whole genome shotgun sequence.